rfam:Spinacia oleracea cultivar SynViroflay scaffold86743.con0007.1, whole genome shotgun sequence.
AAAAAAGUGGAUUGAUUUGCUAUCCCGACACCUCGGGACCGGAUUGCAACCACUUAAAAAAAUUGCUAAUGCCUCCUUU